CGUCUACAACAUUGAUGUCCUCCUUUCAAACCCCAACAUUUCGCGGUUGUGUUUUUCCCAUUUCACUUGUAGUAUUAAGCCACAUGUGGCAACAUCACAAAACUUUAUAAAAGAGAGAUUGGACGGUGGCUGAUUUUUUCCUUAGGGGACUGCAAAAAAUUGUUAAAACUUUUUCUUAUUCGUCGUUACACUUUAAUUGAAAAAAUU
rnacentral:lncRNA from 1 species